AGUGAACGCUGGCGGUAGGCCUAACACAUGCAAGUCGAACGGCAGCACAGGAGAGCUUGCUCUCUAGGUGGCGAGUGGCGGACGGGUGAGGAAUACAUCGGAAUCUGCCCAGUCGUGGGGGAUAACGUAGGGAAACUUACGCUAAUACCGCAUACGACCUUCGGGUGAAAGAGGGGGAUCGCAAGACCUCUCGCGAUUGGAUGAGCCGAUGUCGGAUUAGCUAGUUAGCGGGGUAAUGGCCCACCAAGGCGACGAUCCGUAGCUGGUCUGAGAGGAUGAUCAGCCACACUGGAACUGAGACACGGUCCAGACUCCUACGGGAGGCAGCAGUGGGGAAUAUUGGACAAUGGGCACAAGCCUGAUCCAGCCAUACCGCGUGGGUGAAGAAGGCCUUCGGGUUGUAAAGCCCUUUUGUUGGGAAAGAAAUCUUUCAGGCUAAUACCCUGGGAGGAUGACGGUACCCAAAGAAUAAGCACCGGCUAACUUCGUG
rnacentral:rRNA from 1 species